UACGGGGGGAGCAAGCGUUGUUCGGAUUUACUGGGCGUAAAGGGCGCGUAGGCGGCCACCGCAAAUCAGUUGUGAAAUCUCUGGGCUUAACCCAGAAAGGUCAACUGAUACUGCGGGGCUAGAGUGCAGAAGGGGCAACUGGAAUUCUCGGUGUAGCAAUGAAAUGCGUAGAGAUCGGGAGGAACAUCUGUGGCGAAGGCGGCCAUCUGGACCAGCACUGACACUGAGGCACGAAAGCGUGGGGAGCAAACAGG
rnacentral:rRNA from 1 species